AUGGCGCGCGCGUUCGGCGUCGGCGCUGCGAUGCUCGUCGUCGUGUCGGCCUUCUUCGCGCCGGCGGUGACGGCGCAGACCGGCAGCUGCGACGACCCGCUGCCGACCGAGCUCGUCGGCAACUACUCCGGGAUGGCCUGCAGCCCCGUCUGGAACAACUUCGUGCUCCGGUACGCGCAGGACGGGGACAACGUGCUGCGGGUGGUGCUCUCCGCGAUGUACAGCUCCGGGUGGGUGGGGAUGGCGUUCUCCAAGGACGGCCUGAUGGUGGGCUCGAGCGCCAUGGUCGGGUGGGUCGGCAAGAAGGGGCAAGCCCACGUCAAGCAGUUUGCCCUUAACGGCAAGGCGCCCUCCAUGGUCGUCGCCGACAGGGGCUUCCUCGUCUCCAACGGCCACGCCCACACAGUCCUUGUCAAGCAGGCCAAGAUCUACCUCGCCUUCCAGCUCAACUUCGACUCGCAGCUCAAGAAGCAGCAGGUGCUCUUCGCCUUCGGCUCUGCCAUCCCUGUCAACGACCGCCUAGCCGAGCACCAGGGCAAGACGUCCAUGACCUUUGAUUUCACCACAGGCAGCUCUUCAGGCUCCUCCUUCCCGAGUGGCCUAAAAAGGACUCAUGGGGCACUCAACCUGUUCGCUUGGGGUGUCCUCCUGCCUAUCGGUGCCAUUAUCGCUCGGUACUGCAGGGGUUGGGACCCUCUGUGGUUCUACCUUCAUGGCGGCAUUCAGUUCGUCGGCUUCAUCCUCGGUCUGGCCGGCGUUGUGGCUGGAGUAUCACUGUACGGCAAGAUCCAAGCAGAUGUUCCAGCACAUAGAGGCCUUGGCAUAUUUGUGCUUGUGCUUGGUAUCCUCCAGAUUCUAGCGUUCUUCCUAAGGCCCAACAAAGACUCGAAGUACCGGAAAUACUGGAACUGGUAUCACCAUUGGGUAGGCAGGCUUGUGCUCUUCUUUGCAGCAGUUAACAUUGUCUUGGGGAUCAAAGUUGGAGGCGCGGGUAACUCGUGGAAGAUCGGCUAUGGUUUCAACCUGGCCAUCCUUCUCAUCACCAUUAUCACCCUGGAAGUCCUAGUGUGGACAAGGUGGAAAAACAACAGCGGUCCUACGACGACAUACUGA
rnacentral:rRNA from 1 species